ACAAAAAUUAUUAAUAUUAGAAACUUAUUUAUUCGUCUUUUAUGCUUGUUUUUUAAUUACUUUUGGAUUGUAUGGUAUUUUUUUUGUUUUGAAUUGGAGUUUAACAUUAUUUUAGAGUGAAAUUUAUUUAGAUUUGAAUUACAAAACUUUAUAAUUUUUUUUUUAUUUAAAAAAAAACUUGUAGUUAAGUGAGUCAGUGAGCCUACUCUUUUAACCCACUAACCCAUGGUGGGUCAAGUCAA
rnacentral:lncRNA from 1 species